rnacentral:lncRNA from 1 species
GGUCCUAAACAUGCAAAGAUGAGGGAAGAGAAAGAAAACCACAUGGAGUUCCCUUCUUGAGAUCAUAAAGAUGAUCCAAGUUUCUCCUUUCCUUUGGACUUAGCAAGCAAUAAGCAAAUAACUCAAACAAUCAAGCAAACAAUCAAUCAAGCUCCUAGGAAUCUUCCAAUUGGAUUUUGUCUCUCUUAUCUUGGAUGUCCAUGAC